rnacentral:rRNA from 1 species
GAUGAACGCUGGCGGCGUGCCUAAUACAUGCAAGUCGAGCGAACCUCUUCGGAGGUUAGCGGCGGACGGGUGAGUAACACGUGGGCAACCUACCUUGUAGAUGGGGAUAACAUCGAGAAAUCGGUGCUAAUACCGAAUAACACUUUUCUCCACAUGGAGAAAAGUUAAAAGUUGGCUUUUGCUAACACUACAAGAUGGGCCCGCGGCGCAUUAGCUAGUUGGUGAGGUAACGGCUCACCAAGGCGACGAUGCGUAGCCGACCUGAGAGGGUGAGCGGCAACACUGGGACUGAGACACGGCCAAGACUCCUACGGGAGGCAGCAGUAGGGAAUCUUCCGCAAUGGACGAAAGUCUGACGGAGCAACGCCGCGUGAGUGAUGAAGGCCUUCGGGUCGUAAAACUCUGUUGUUAGGGAAGAAUAAGUACCGUUCGAAUAGGGCGGUACCGUGACGGUACCUAACCAGAAAGCCACGGCUAACUACGUGCCAGCCGCCGCGGUAA